AAAUAGUGCCAAUAAUCAAUUCUAUCAUGAAGUUUUAAAAUGGACAUGCAUCCUUGGUAGUUUAAAGUGCAAAGAACAUGUUAAUGGAAUAUUAAACUGGCAUUUUAAACAUCCUAUACAAAACAAAUUGUUGCCAAGUUGGCAAAAGUGGAUAUAUUGUCAAAGACUAAUGUUAGACACUGUAACUUAUGAUACAUCUGCUGUGUGGCAAGAUAUAUUCAAGAUAUACCAGACACAAGGGAAAUUAGGACAACUUUUCGAAUUUUUACCUUGCUCUAAACACUAUCAGGAUCGGUUGGUCUUUCUCUCGUUUCUUGAUAGUAACUCUUUACUAAUACGUGAAAGUAGUUUAAAUGCAGACAAUGGUUAUGUUUACAAAAACAUUGUAAAUGAGAAGAAAAGUGUUACUGUUAGUUUACUUUUUAAUAUUUUUGCUAUGUAUUCAAAAAUUAUGUCAGCGCUUGAUGUUAUACUAAUCGGACUACAAAAUGAAAUUGCAAGAGACGUGAACAUACUAGCAAUAAUAAAUUGUAUUAUAAACAACAUAUAUUCAAACGACGGUUUGACAAAG